CGGUAGUAUAGUGGGAGUAUCCGCGCCUGUCACGUGCGAGACCCGGGUUCGAUUCCCGGCCGGGGAG
rnacentral:tRNA from 1 species